CCCCGCCCCUCGCGGACCCGGAAGUGGGCCUGGCACCUUCCCGGCCGGCCGCAGGGAUGGGGCAGCUGUGCUGGCUGCCGCUGCUGGCACCGCUCCUGUUGCUGCGACCGCCAGGGGUCCAGUCCGUCGGCCCCAUCCGGGCCUUCGUGGUGCCCCACAGCCACAUGGACGUGGGCUGGGUCUACACUGUGCAGGAAAGCAUGCGGGCGUACGCCGCCAAUGUCUACACCUCAGUGGUGGAAGAGCUGGCCCGCGGCCAGCAGCGCCGGUUCAUCGCUGUGGAGCAGGAGUUUUUCCGGCUGUGGUGGGAUGGCGUCGCCUCGGACCAGCAGAAAUACCAGGUCCGCCAGCUCCUGGAGGAAGGACACCUGGAAUUUGUCAUCGGAGGCCAGGUCAUGCAUGACGAGGCUGUGACGCACCUUGAUGACCAGAUCCUGCAGCUCACAGAAGGACACGGGUUUCUCUAUGAAACAUUUGGGAUCCGGCCACAGUUCUCCUGGCACGUUGACCCGUUUGGCGCCUCUGCCACGACCCCCACCCUAUUUGCGCUGGCGGGCUUCAAUGCCCACCUCGGCUCCCGGAUCGACUACGACCUGAAGGCAGCCAUGCAGGAGGCCCGGGGUCUGCAGUUUGUGUGGCGAGGGUCCCCAUCCCUCUCAGAGCAGCAGGAAAUCUUCACGCACAUCAUGGACCAGUACAGCUACUGCACCCCCUCCCACAUUCCUUUCUCCAACAGGGAUCACAAUGAAGAAGGCCGGAGGAGGCCAGGCGCAGUGGCUCACACCUGUAAUCCCAGCACUUUGGGAGGCCGAGGCAGGUCAGGAUUUUACUGGAAUGGUGUGGCUGUCUUCCCCAAGCCUCCCCCAGAUGGGGUAUACCCCAACAUGAGUGAGCCCGUCACCCCAGCCAACAUCAACCUCUAUGCCGAGGCCCUGGUGGCCAACGUGAAGCAGAGAGCCGCCUGGUUCCGGACACCGCACGUCCUCUGGCCCUGGGGAUGUGACAAGCAGUUCUUCAAUGCCUCGGUGCAGUUUGCCAACAUGGACCCGCUGCUGGACCACAUCAACAGCCAUGCUGCCGAGCUUGGUGUCUCGGUACAGUACGCCACGCUGGGCGACUACUUCCGUGCCCUGCACGCUCUCAAUGUCACCUGGCGUGUCCGCGACCACCACGACUUCCUGCCCUAUUCCACAGAACCAUUCCAGGCCUGGACGGGCUUCUACACGUCCCGCAGCGCACUGAAGGGGCUGGCCCGGCGAGCCAGCGCCUUGUUGUAUGCCGGGGAGUCCAUGUUCACACGCUACCUGUGGCCGGCCCCCCGUGGGCAUCUGGACCCCACCUGGGCCCUGCGGCAGCUCCAGCAGCUUCGCUGGGCCGUCUCCGAGGUCCAGCACCAUGAUGCCAUCACUGGGACUGAGUCCCCCAAGGUGAGAGACAUGUACGCAACGCACCUGGCCUCGGGGAUGCUGGGCGUGCGCAAGCUGAUGGCCUCCAUUGUCCUAGAUGAGCUCCAGCCCCAGGCACCCAUGGCAGCCAGCUCCGAUGCAGGACCUGCAGGACAUUUUGCCUCGGUCUACAACCCACUGGCCUGGAUGGUCACCACCAUCGUCACCCUGACUGUUGGUUUCCCUAGAGUCCGCGUCACAGAUGAGGCGGGCCACCCAGUACCCUCGCAGAUCCAGAACUCAACAGAGACCCCAUCUGCGUAUGACCUGCUUAUUCUGACCACAAUCCCAGGCCUCAGUUACCGGCACUACAGCAUCAGACCCACUGCAGGGGCCCAAGAGGGCACCCAGGAGCCGGCUGCCACUGUGGCCAGCACCCUUCAAUUUGGCCGCAGGCUGAGGAGACGCACCAGCCAUGCGGGCAGGUACUUGGUGCCUGUGGCAAACGACUGCUACAUUGUGCUGCUUGACCAGGAUACCAACCUGAUGCACAGCAUCUGGGAGAGACAGAGUAACCGAACGGUGCACGUGACCCAGGAAUUCCUGGAGUACCACGUCAACGGGGAUGUGAAACAGGGCCCCAUUUCCGAUAACUACCUGUUCACACCGGGCAAGGCCGCGGUGCCUGCGUGGGAAGCUGUGGAAAUGGAGAUUGUGGCGGCACAGCUUGUGACUGAGAUCCGGCAGUACUUCUACAGGAACAUGACAGCACAGAAUUACACGUAUGCAAUCCGCUCCCGGCUCACCCAUGUGCCGCAGGGCCAUGACGGGGAGCUGCUCUGCCACCGGAUAGAGCAGGAGUACCAAGCCGGCCCCCUGGAGCUGAACCGUGAGGCUGUCUUGAGGACCAGCACCAACCUAAACAGCCAGCAGGUCAUCUACUCAGACAACAACGGCUACCAGAUGCAGCGGAGGCCCUAUGUUUCCUAUGUGAACAACAGCAUCGCCCGGAAUUACUACCCCAUGGUUCAGUCGGCCUUCAUGGAGGAUGGCAAAAGCAGGCUUGUGUUGCUGUCGGAGCGGGCACAUGGCAUCUCCAGCCAAGGGAAUGGGCAGGUGGAGGUCAUGCUCCACCGGCGGCUGUGGAACAACUUCGACUGGGACCUGGGCUACAACCUCACGCUGAAUGACACCUCAGUCGUCCACCCAGUGCUCUGGCUUCUGCUGGGAUCCUGGUCGCUCACCACUGCCCUGCGCCAGAGGAGCGCACUGGCGCUGCAGCACAGGCCUGUGGUGCUGUUCGGAGACCUCGCCGGGACUGCGCCGAAGCUCCCAGGACCCCAGCAGCAAGAGGCCGUGACGCUGCCCCCGAAUCUUCAUCUGCAGAUCCUGAGCAUCCCUGGCUGGCGCUACAGCUCCAACCACACGGAGCACUCUCAGAAUCUCCGGAAAGGCCAUCGAGGGGAAGCCCAGGCUGACCUCCGCCGUGUCCUGCUGCGGCUCCACCACCUGUAUGAAGUGGGCGAGGACCCAGUCCUGUCUCAGCCAGUGACAGUGAAUCUGGAGGGGAAUCCAGAGAAGCCCCAGUACCUUUUCGCCAUGAUGUCUUACUGGGCCACCCACCUCCUCUUUCAUGAUCCUCGCCACGGAGGAUCCUUUCCUCACGGUCCCUGGCCUGCCUGAGAGCAGGUCUAGGCCAUGGCGGGUACCAGUGCCCAGCACAGGGCCAGCCUGCCCUGGGAAGCAAGGAGGCCGGCGUGGGACCUGGAAGUUGGUCAUCUGAUGCUCCCCCGUUUCACAGAUGGAAGCACCAAGGCCCUGAGACAAGGAGACGGUUGGGAUGGACACCAUGACUCCCUGCCCGACGUGGACGGUGGUGGGGUGGAAAGACCAUUGAGUUAGGAACGCAGUGAGUUUGGCUGCAAGUCACAAAACACCUAACAGAUGUGCUUAGAACAGAGGACAGAGUGUUUUCUCACCGAACAGGCAUGUCCGAUGGACCCCAAGCGCUGUCACCGUGGGCCCGAUCACUGUCGUCCUCCUGCCAUCGCCGGCAGACUGGCUUUUGUCUUUUGCCGUCUGCUUGUUUGCGGUCACAAGAUGGCACAGGCCUCCCUCAUGAGCAAAUUUCAAGGCAGGGUGGGGCUCGGCAGUAGUGGCCAGAAAGGCCUUGCCCUAGCGUGGCUCUCUCCCUCCGUCAGCACACAGAAGCUUCUCCAAGAACCACCCCCACCCCUCCUGCUCCACAGACUUUUCCAGACCCCUAAGGGCCUCCUGCCUCCCCUAGGUGUAAGGGAGGCUGGGACAAGGCCUACUGGGAAAGGGGGAUGGGGUAACUGUGGCUGGCUUCCUCCCUGGACUGGGCACGGGGCCACCUGAGCAAUGUGGGGAGAGGAGAACUCUGCGGUGGGGUGGGCAGCUCAAAAUGCCACACCUCCCGGGCUGCUCCUCCGGCUCGGCCACCUGGUGAAGCAUGCACCUCCCACUUCAGUGUCCUCAUCUGUAAAGUACACGGCCAGUCCUGUCCUCGCAGAUGUGCUGUGAGAAGCAGAUGAGGGAGCUGUGUCAGGCACCAGGGCAGGACCUGGGUUCCUGAGGACACCGAGUUCAUGGUGUGUCUGCCCUGCUGCUGUCUUGGUUCUCUGCUCAGCUCUGGAACUUGGUGCAGCUCACUCUCCCUCUGCUCCUCUCCCUGCAGGCUGUGCUGCAGGCGCUGGGGUCCGUGGUGGCAGUGGAGGAGCGCUCGCUCACAGGGACCUGGGAUUUGAGCAUGCUGCACCGCUGGAGCUGGAGGACGGGGCCUGGCCACCACAGAGGUGACACCACCUCUCCCUCGAGGCCACCAGGAGGCCCCAUCAUCACCGUCCACCCAAAGGAAAUCCGGACGUUCUUCAUUCACUUUCAACAGCAGUGAGCCCUGGGCAGAUGCCCCGGCCCCAGGGCUUCCCCCAGGAACUCCAUGCAACAGAACAGACCCAGGACAGGGAAAAGCAGCACAGAGGGACGGGACUGGGGAGUCAGCUGCUCAUCUGCAGGCUAAUGGCAGAAAAUGGUCAUAUUUGGGGUUUUUCCCCUCAUUUUUUUUUAAUAAAAAUUACAAGAUCCA